rnacentral:rRNA from 1 species
CGGAGGCAGCAGUGGGGAAUUUUGGACGAUGGGGGCAACCCUGAUCCAGCCAUGCCGCGUGAGUGAAGAAGGCCUUCGGGUUGUAAAGCUCUUUCGGCCGGGAAGAAAUCGUAUCAGCUAAUACCUGGUGCGGAUGACGGUACCGGCAUAAGAAGCACCGGCUAACUACGUGCCAGCAGCCGCGGUAAUACGUAGGGUGCGAGCGUUAAUCGGAAUUACUGGGCGUAAAGCGUGCGCAGGCGGUUUUGUAAGACAGGCGUGAAAUCCCCGGGCUCAACCUGGGAACUGCGUUUGUGACUGCAAGGCUAGAGUACGGCAGAGGGGGGUGGAAUUCCACGUGUAGCAGUGAAAUGCGUAGAGAUGUGGAGGAACACCAAUGGCGAAGGCAGCCCCCUGGGUCGAUACUGACGCUCAUGCACGGAAGCGUGGGUAGCAAACAGGAUUAGAUACCCUAGUAGUCGC